UAAAAUGAGUCACUUGCUUUGGU
rnacentral:piRNA from 1 species